rnacentral:lncRNA from 1 species
CAGCCUCAGGCGUGCGCGGACGGUGUGCGGGUCCAGCUAUGCAUCACCCCUUCGCUGAUGAGCCUUAAGAAAAUCCAAAUUUAUAAAUUGCUGGGUCCAUCUCUCUUGCCAUCCAGAAAAGUCAGAGCAACUGGUCUUGCUGGUUUUAAGUGUUGCCUGUGUUUCUGGCAUUGGUCACAAAGCCUACUGCCUGCUAAUCGGCAAGUGGACCUGUUUCUCUAACAAUGGCCCGAAACUUCACAACAUCAAAGGAGAAAUCAUUGCCAGCAAAAGCAUUUCCGGGUAGUAGGAAAGAAUACAAGUGAAUAACAUUAGUCCAGAAGUUUUAAUAAUAUUCUUUGCUGGUUGAAAUUCAUGUUUAACAUGAUGUAAAUUACUUGAUAAGCAAAUUAAGAACUAUGCUACUACAGACUCCAAAUAAGACGCAAGAAAAAUGAGGGGAAAUACAUUAAAG